UACGGAGGGAGCUAGCGUUGUUCGGAAUUACUGGGCGUAAAGCGCGGGCAGGCGGCUCGAAACGUCUGAUGUGAAAUCUCCUCGCUCAACGGGGAGAGGCCAUUGGAAACGGUCGAGCUGGAGGGCAGUAGAGGUAGGCAGAAUUCCGGGUGGAGUGGUGAAAUGCGUAGAGAUCCGGAGGAACACCAGAGGCGAAGGCGGCCUACUGGGCUGCACCUGACGCUGAGCCGCGAAAGCCAGGGGAGCAAACGGG
rnacentral:rRNA from 1 species